UAAACUGUGCAACCGUAAACUUACCAGCCUCCACCGGGGAGGUAAUCACCCUGUACCCGGGCCAGUUCACCCGCUGCCCCACUGCCCCGCCCGGCCCAGAAUUCAUGUAUUCACCGUAGUACAGCGUGUCAAGGGCGAAAGUGGUAUUCCACUCGAGCCAUCCACGUGGAUGUACGUGAUCGCCAAUAUACGAUAACAUGUACACGACCCUCGAGUACAAUUUCCACGGACGCCCCAGAUAUGUCG
rnacentral:lncRNA from 1 species